AUGUGCAAGAGUUUCUUUAAGACGUAUGUGGGUAUGCUCACCUUCCACAUUAUUAAAUAUUGCCAACUUGCUCUCUGCAGUCUUUGUACCAAUGCAAGCACCCUCCAGAUAGCUAUCUGAGCAAGCUCUCCUUCCAUAUCAAACCCUGCAUGAGGUGACCAACUGUCAUUAACUUUGGAUGUUUUUCCUGGAGGAGGAGAAUGUGCAGGAAUGAGAAGAAAAUACCAUCAGAAUCAUGUGGACCCACAUUCAUCCCUUACUUCACCCCUUCUGGGAAGGAACCCAGCAGGCUCAAAGAUAUGGAAAAUGCCACCAGAAAAACAGUACCUGGGACAGAGGGUAGAGAUUCCUAUGGCAGGAAUGAGACUACUUUUA
rnacentral:lncRNA from 1 species